rnacentral:rRNA from 1 species
AUUUACGGCCAUACCACCCUGAACACGCCCGAUCUUGUCUGAUCUCGGAAGCUACGUCAGGUCAGUCCUGGUUACUACUUGGAUGGGAGACUGCCUGGGAAUACCAAGUGCUGUUAGCU